GAAAUGCGAUAAGUAAUGUGAAUUGCAGAAUUCAGUGAAUCAUCGAAUCUUUGAACGCACCUUGUGCUCCUUGGUAUUCCUUGGAGCAUGCCUGUUUGAGUAUCAUGAAAUCUUCAAAGUAAAUCUUUUGUUAACUCAAUUGGUUUCUACUUUGGUAUUGGAGGUCUUUGCAGCUUCACACCUGCUCCUCUUUGUACAUUAGCUGGAUCUCAGUGUUAUGCUUGGUUCCACUCGGCGUGAUAAGUUAUCUAUCGCUGAGGACACUGUAAAAGGUGGCCAAGGUAAAUGCAGAUGAACCGCUUCUAAUAGUCCAUUGACUUGGACAAUACUUUUAUGAUCUGAUCUCAAAUCAGGUAGGGAUACCCGCUGAACUUAAGC
rnacentral:misc_RNA from 1 species